CACCUGGAUUGCAUUACACGACAAAAACACAAAAAGUGCAAAAGACGAAGAAUUAUCAACUACAAUUAUUUACAAAAAUUCCAAUUGACCUUUGUUGAACGGUUUGUCACGAAAUUUUACAGUCUUUAAUUCUUUUAAGUUAUAAGGACAAUACAAAUCAGCCAUAUAAAUUUAAAAUUUGUCAUUUCGAAUAAGAAAAUUAGUCACGAAUUAAUCUGAAUCACGAUGCAGGCCGGGAACGACCAAACUGCCACACAAUUGAAUAAUCUUGACCUUACCAACAUGGAAUAUUUGGCGAUGAAGACCUUGACGAAUCCGCUAGGAAGUAACUUACUUACUGUCUUACAAAAUUCUGACCAAAGUUUUCUGCUCCUUGGACGUCAAAACGCUAAAGUCCGCCCGAUUCGUGUGCACCGUUUGGGACCACGUGGGCGCCAAGUUUCUCGGACAGAAGGCCCGCCUAACUUUCUCAUCAUCGCCAAAGUACCGGCUUAAUUACUGCAAAUUUACCAAUCUGAAAGAGUUGACCUCAUUCAAUCACAAAUUGUCGAGAAAUGUGACCUUGGUGAUGAUCUGUGACUGCAGUCUUACCUGUCAAUGCCCCCCUAAUCAAGUCGAAGCUUGUCGCAAUCUGCCUCCCAACUUUGCCAUUUGCUUCUCAGAAUUUUUUGACGAGCUGGACACGCUUAAAUUCUUUGUGGGAAGGACGCUCCAACCACGCUGGCAUGAAAUGUGGGGUACUCAUCAGUUCCAAAACCUUACCCAGAUUUGCAACAUCGUAGAGAAAGUCUGUCACGAUGAUAGCUGGUGGGGUGACGAGGACGAAGUGAAGACGCGAUUGGAGGUGCCGCAGUUUAGACCCCUGCGGAAU